CAACUAAUCUAUCCUAUACUAAAAGGGAUAUAUGAGGAGUAGAGAGGCUGUCCACGUCAGAUUAAAAAAUCGGCCAAUAGGAUUGCUUUAAAUCGCCAUGUCAGCUUAUGACUAUUCCUCUUCCUCUUCACCGAUCAAUUCCUCCGCUGUUACUGUAAUUCACCCUUCGUGAAUCUGUAAUGCUCUUAAAUCCUCUUUUAAUGGUUUCAUUCCAGGUUCCCCUCUUUCUCCUUUUAUACAAAGCCCUAAUCUGAUGUUUAAUCCAAACCCUUAUUCAAAAAAAUGGAUUCUACCUCCGCCGCAUAAACGCUAUCCACUCCCAUCUCGUCACGUCUUCUCGCUUUUCCCCUCUCCUCCUCAGCUCCAAUCCCACCGCCGGCGACUCUGUCUCGAUAAUGGAUAUAACGUUGUGCUUCCCGAGAAGCUGAGCACUGGCAAGUGAAACGUCUACAGGUUAUAUAUCAACGAUCAUUUUCCUCCUACAGGUUAUAUAUCACCGAGGCAAGAGCAAAUCAUAAGCUGCAUAUGGUAUUUGGUCGUAUUUGUUUCCUUCAUCAUUUGUUUUCGUUUAAGUGAAUUAUAUAGCUUGAUCAAUAGCAAAUAUUGUGUCUUUCUGUUCUUUAUAUUUGGUAUGAAAUUGCUUUUGUCCUUUUGUAAGGUCUCUGGUUGUUACCUUCUUUUCGUUUCAAGUACUUCCCUUUAUAAGAAAUCUUUUGUUUGCUCUAUAAAUCUCUCCUAAACCAUUAAAUUGCAUCCUUUAUUUUAUUCUGCAGAUGGUACUCCGAGAAGACUGUGUUGCUGAGUUAAACAAUUACAUAGACCCUCUCUACCGGAGAAUUUAGAUGGAAAACUUCUGAGUCGCAUUUUGGAGGUUGAUGGUAAGCUGAAUCCAUGAAAGUGCAAUACUGAAUCAGGCAUGGUCUUAAGAAAGCUGCUUAGCAGAGCAUACUUGAUGAUUUAAACAAGCAUGACCCAGGGUUCACACAGCCUUCUGUUUCAGGGGCAACGCCACAAGUGGUUCCAACCAACCUGCACUGCCGCUGGUAAUCACUAAUCCGGAAUGUAUCGAUUUUGUCCUUAUUAGAGGUCUUCUUCCAAAAUCACGUUUUAGGUUCAAGUUUGGUACCAUGCAAGCUGUUACUGGUCAGUAGGAAGACUUUGGACGCUAUAAUGUUGUUGAAGAGCUCGAGAUUCUGAAACGGUCGACCAUGAAUCCUUUGGUGUUGGGUGCCACAUCUGGCAGUGAUCUACUAUAUAACGCAGUACAGUGGUGUUAGGAAACUGGAGACUGUUACAGUGGCGGAGGUGAAUGCCUACGUUCUGAACUCACCCCUAAGAAGAUUUACUGAUCUAAAGGGGUCAGCCGGUCAGGAAAACCAACAAGAAAGGCCUGAAGAGCUUAGUUUUCUUCAUGAAGCACUGUCAUGAAACCACUCUAUCGUAACUCCCAGUGCUUAAUAUUAUUUCUAUAAAUUUUAUGCUAUGCAAAUAAGGGAUUGGGCACUUAGGCGUCUUUGUCUCACUUCUGAUUUUCAUACACCCUGAAUUUUUUGGCUUUUUAAAAUAUGAAUUACUUCUUAGUUUCCACAUAAAUCAAAUGUUCAGCCUUUGUUAUU